AGUGAACGCUGGCGGUAGGCCUAACACAUGCAAGUCGAACGGCAGCACAGUAAGAGCUUGCUCUUACGGGUGGCGAGUGGCGGACGGGUGAGGAAUACAUCGGAAUCUACUUUUUCGUGGGGGAUAACGUAGGGAAACUUACGCUAAUACCGCAUACGACCUACGGGUGAAAGCAGGGGAUCUUCGGACCUUGCGCGAUUGAAUGAGCCGAUGUCGGAUUAGCUAGUUGGCGGGGUAAAGGCCCACCAAGGCGACGAUCCGUAGCUGGUCUGAGAGGAUGACCAGCCAAACUGGACUUGAGACAGGGUCCAGACUCCAAGGGAGGGCAGCAGUGGGAAUAUUGGACAAUGGGCGCAAGCCUGAUCCAGCCAUACCGCGUGGGUGAAGAAGGCCUUCGGGUUGUAAAGCCCUUUUGUUGGGAAAGAAAAGCAGCAGGUUAAUACCCCGCUGUUCUGACGGUACCCAAAGAAUAAGCACCGGCUAACUUCGUG
rnacentral:rRNA from 1 species